AAGUCCCGAAUGACAA
rnacentral:tRNA from 1 species